rnacentral:rRNA from 1 species
AUGACAGUGCUACCUUGGAACUGUCGAGGUCUCGGGCAGCCUCGUACAGUUCAAGAACUAGUGUGUCUCGUGCACACGUACAAGCCCAAGCUCGUCUUCCUCUCAGAAACGCGGCAGAAUAAUAAGUAUGUUAGGGAUCUCAAGUGGAGGCUUGGCCUUUGUCAUUGUAUCAUGCAACCCGGCAUUGGUAAAGGUGCCGGCAUUGCCCUCUAUUAUGAUGAGAGUGUUGAAAUAAAAAAGAUUUCCGCUGGGGCGAGGUACAUCGAUGUGUUGGUUCGUAUAAACCCAAAUGGCCUCCAAUGGCGGGGAACUUUUGUCUAUGGCCAACCAAAAGCUCAUGAACGGCACCACAUGUGGACAUUGUUGAGAAGAAUAAAGGACACUAGCAAUCUCCCGUGGCUAAUGAUGGGGGAUUUUAAUGAAACUUUGUGGCAAACGGAACAUUUUUCAGCCUCUAAGAGAUCCGAGAGUAACAUGGAAAACUUCUGCGAGCUCCUCUCAGAUUGCAACUUAUUUGACUUGGGCUUCAGAGGGCCGGGAUGGACCUAUAAUAACAAGCAGGGGGAGGAACAAUGUUAG